rnacentral:misc_RNA from 1 species
UUUUUUUUUUUUUUUUUGGAGCCAUAUGGACUGAUUCAAUUUUGUCAGAAGCAUAAAUGGCAAUAAAGUUAUGCUUUAUUUUAAGCACGGUUUUUUGUUCAUUCAAAUAUUUCUUGUCAGCAUUUACUCAAUUGGCUUUAGCACUGAUGCUAAUAGCCCUAAUUUUAAUUUUGUGUUCAUGAUCAAAGGCUGUUGAAGUGACUAAUGA